UACGAAGGGGGCUAGCGUUGCUCGGAAUCACUGGGCGUAAAGGGUGCGUAGGCGGGUCUUUAAGUCAGAGGGGAAAUCCUGGAGCUCAACUCCAGAACUGCCUUUGAUACUGAGGAUCUUGAGUACGGGAGAGGUGAGUGGAACUGCGAGUGUAGAGGUGAAAUUCGUAGAUAUUCGCAAGAACACCAGUGGCGAAGGCGGCUCACUGGCCCGUUACUGACGCUGAGGCACGAAAGCGUGGGGAGCAAACAGG
rnacentral:rRNA from 1 species